GUCUGUGGCCAUACCACCUGAACGCGCCUGAUCUCAUCUGAUCUCGGGAGCUAAGCAGGGUCAGGCCUGGUUAGUGCUUGGAUGGGAGGUGGCUUUUGCAUUCCACUCUAGACACUAAGAUAAACAGUAAACU
rnacentral:rRNA from 1 species